rnacentral:rRNA from 1 species
CGCCUCUUGGCACAGUAUAAGAGGUCCAGCCUGCCCGGUGACAUAGUUUAACGGCCACGGUACCCUGACCGUGCGAAGGUAGCAUAAUCACUUGUUCUUUAAAUAGGGACUUGUAUCAAUGGCAUCACGAGGGCUGCACUGUCUCCUCUCUUCAGUCAGUGAAACUGAUCCCCCCGUGAAGAAGCGUGGAUUAAAUUAUAAGACGAGAAGACCCCAUGGAGCUUUAAACAAUGUGCUCACACUAUGCUAAUAUAUCAACUCACUAAUAAGCCCUGGGCACAAGUUUUAGGUUGGGGAGACCGCGGAGUACAAACUAACCUCCACGACAGAUGGCUUAUGCCUUAUCUAAGAGCCACAGCUCCAAGAAUCAAGAUAUUGAUGUCUAUGAUCCGAUAUUCGAUUAACGAAUCAAGUUACCCUGGGGAUAACAGCGCAAUCUACUUUGAGAGCCCUUAUCGACAAGUAGGCUUACGACCUCGAUGUUGGAUCAGGGUAUCCUUGUGGUGCAGCAGCUACUAAUGGUUCGUUUGUUCAACGAUUAAAACCCU